ensembl:snRNA U2 U2 spliceosomal RNA
AUUGCUUCUCGGCAUUUUGGCUAAGAUCAAGUGUAGUAUCUAUUCUUAUCAGAAUAUAUUCUUAUUCAAACCACAACAUAGACUUUUCCUUGAAUCAGAUGUUAGCAGAUUAGGGCCUUCU